CUUAUCCUUCUUUGGCCAUUCCAAGAGCUCAGCAUUGCAAGCAACCUCAGCCAUUAUCAAGUACCAAUCACAAAGAGAGCGAAGCAGAGAGCUAAAAAUGUUUUCUCCAAACUGAUAACCACUUUGUAGACUGCUCGGCACCCCAGUAGAUAAAUUAUACACCAUAACAUGUUGUCAUUGGGAUUGUCUAGCGUAACUGUCUGUUACGUUUUCAAAUUAAUUUCGUUGGUCUGUUAUAGAGAAAUUGGAUUAUAACUGUCAGUCUAUGGGAGGGUUUAGCUGGUUCCGG
rnacentral:misc_RNA from 1 species